rnacentral:rRNA from 1 species
GACGAACCGUGCGAACGUUAUUCGGAAUCACUGGGCUUAAAGGGCGCGUAGGCGGGCGGCCAGGUCCGGGGUGAAAGCCCCCAGCUCAACUGGGGAAGUGCCUUGGAUACCGGUCGCUCGAGGGAGGCAGGGGCGUGCGGAACUUCGGGUGGAGCGGUGAAAUGCGUAGAUAUCCGAAGGAACACCGGUGGCGAAAGCGGCGCGCUGGACCUCUUCUGACGCUGAGGCGCGAAAGCCAGGGGAGCAAACAGG